UGUUGUGUAUGUGCUGCUUUCUCAAGGCUAACGCAAGGAGGUGCAGACUUUUUUUUAUUAGGCCUCUUCCAUCAUCCGGAUUGUUGCCGUCUCCGUUUCCCAAACCCAACCUAAUUCAUGCCGGUGGAGACGUCUUCAGACAGCGCUGGCUCUUUGGCUUUGAAACAGCCCGCACACUGCUGCCAUGUGACCGCUCUUGGGGCGCAGCCAGGAAGGAUCGCUAGGAGAAUGCCAACUGGAGCCGGGAAUGUCCCCAGAACUGGGGGUCUUUAAACUCAGUGGAAAAACAGGAUGCAGGCCACGCCCACCCCAGCUCCGCGAAGGGAAAAAAGUCACGAUACAUCAUGUGACAGCAACGUGACGCACAGCAAGUUGGAUACCCAUGAUCUUGGACACUAAAUGUGAAUGAUUGUCCUUGAAUUCUUAUUGUAAUGUGAAACCAACAUUAGGUCUAGAUUUGACUGUAGGAUUAGGCAUCUGGGCAAUAAAUACAAAUCAGGUGCUUAUUUGAUAUGAACUUCUUCUAGUAUCUACACUACAAUUAGCUACGAUUAGUAUAUCUCCAGCCAAACAGAGUCUGACUUUUUAAAAACCCUUUCUGCUUGUGCCAUUUGACUUGGCAGGAAAUGCUGUUGAUAUGACCAAAGAAUGAAUGGUUGGCAGGAACAGAAAAGUUCUUUGAUUCCCUUUUUGCCCUGUUCCUUUGUAAUCAGCUUCACACUUACAGAAUUCUAGCUGAAUGUUGUUUAUACAGCUUUGAAUGUCAGGUAGUUCUUAUUCAAGGAUGAGAACAAUGCAUCCUCAACAGCAAGGCUAAAGGCCACAAAGGAUUUUUUUUAAACCCAUAACACUGGGAAAAACUGAUGUGUUCAUUCCGUGGCAACGUUAAAAGAAUGUCAUGACAUGGUUAAAGCACUCUGGCCAUUCUGAGUUACAGGUCUGAAAUGGUAGGAAGGGAAAUAACCAUAAAGUUAUACAA